rnacentral:tRNA from 1 species
AGGGUUGUGGCUCAAUUGUAGAGCAUCUGCUUAGCGUGCAGAGGGGCUUGGGUUCCAUCCCCAACAUCUCCU